AUUGAACGCUGGCGGCAGGCCUAACACAUGCAAGUCGAGCGGAUGAAGGGAGCUUGCUCCUGGAUUCAGCGGCGGACGGGUGAGUAAUGCCUAGGAAUCUGCCUGGUAGUGGGGGAUAACGUCCGGAAACGGGCGCUAAUACCGCAUACGUCCUGAGGGAGAAAGUGGGGGAUCUUCGGACCCCACGCUAUCAGAUGAGCCUAGGUCGGAUUAGCUAGUUGGUGGGGUAAAGGCCUACCUAGGCGACGAUCCGUAACUGGUCUGAGAGGAUGAUCAGUCACACUGGAACUGAGACACGGUCCAGACUACUACGGGAGGCAGCAGUGGGGAAUAUUGGACAAUGGGCGAAAGCCUGAUCCAGCCAUGCCGCGUGUGUGAAGAAGGUCUUCGGAUUGUAAAGCACUUUAAGUUGGGAGGAAGGGCAGUAAGUUAAUACCUUGCUGUUUUGACGUUACCAACAGAAUAAGCACCGGCUAACUUCGUG
rnacentral:rRNA from 1 species